GAUGAAGAACGCAGCGAAAUGCGAUAAGUAAUGUGAAUUGCAGAAUUCAGUGAAUCAUCGAAUCUUUGAACGCACAUUGCGCCCGCCAGUAUUCUUGCGGGCAUGCCUGUUCGAGCGUCAUUUCAACCAUCAAGCCCCCGGCUUGUGUUGGGGACCUGCGGCUGCCGCAGGCCCUGAAAAGCAGUGGCGGGCUCGCUGUCACACCGAGCGUAGUAGCAUACAUCUCGCUCUGGGCGUGCUGCGGGUUCCGGCCGUUAAACCACCUUCAUAACCCAAGGUUGACCUCGGAUCAGGUAGGAAGACCCGCUGAACUUAAGCAUAUCAAUAAGCGGAGGA
rnacentral:misc_RNA from 1 species